UACGUAGGGGGCAAGCGUUGUCCGGAAUUACUGGGCGUAAAGCGUGCGUAGACGGUUAUGUAAGUCAGAUGUGAAAGCCCCGGGCUCAACCUGGGAAUUGCAUUUGAGACUGCAUAGCUAGGGUGCGGAAGAGGGUAGUGGAAUUCCAGGUGUAGCGGUGAAAUGCGUAGAUAUCUGGAGGAACACCGGUGGCGAAGGCGACAUCCUGGACCGGCAUUGACGCUGAGGCGCGAAA
rnacentral:rRNA from 1 species